rnacentral:rRNA from 1 species
UGGGAUUGGAUGGGGGGAACCCUGAUCAGCCUGCCGCGUGUGUGAAGAAGGCCUUAUGGUUGUAAAGCACUUUAAGCGAGGAGGAGGCUCUCUUGGUUAAUACCCAAGAUGAGUGGACGUUACUCGCAGAAUAAGCACCGGCUAACUCUGUGCCAGCAGCCGCGGUAAUACAGAGGGUGCGAGCGUUAAUCGGAUUUACUGGGCGUAAAGCGUGCGUAGGCGGCUUUUUAAGUCGGAUGUGAAAUCCCCGAGCUUAACUUGGGAAUUGCAUUCGAUACUGGGAAGCUAGAGUAUGGGAGAGGAUGGUAGAAUUCCAGGUGUAGCGGUGAAAUGCGUAGAGAUCUGGAGGAAUACCGAUGGCGAAGGCAGCCAUCUGGCCUAAUACUGACGCUGAGGUACGAAAGCAUGG